GACAGAGGGUGCAAACGUUGUUCGGAAUUACUGGGCGUAAAGCGCGUGUAGGCUGCUCGGAAAGUCGGAUGUGAAAGCCCUGGGCUCAACCUAGGAAGUGCAUUCGAAACUCCCGAGCUGGAGUCCUGGAGAGGAAGGCGGAAUUCUCGGUGUAGAGGUGAAAUUCGUAGAUAUCGAGAGGAACACCGGUGGCGAAGGCGGCCUUCUGGACAGUGACUGACGCUGAGACGCGAAAGCGUGGGGAGCGAACGGG
rnacentral:rRNA from 1 species